GAUGAAGAACGUAGCGAAAUGCGAUAAGUAAUGUGAAUUGCAGAAUUCAGUGAAUCAUCGAAUCUUUGAACGCACAUUGCGCCCGUCAGUAUUCUGGCGGGCAUGCCUGUUCGAGCGUCAUUACGCCCCUCAAGUCCCCUGUGGACUUGGUGUUGGGGAUCGGCGAGGCUGGUUUUCCAGCACAGCCGUCCCUUAAAUUAAUUGGCGGUCUCGCCGUGGCCCUCCUCUGCGCAGUAGUAAAACACUCGCAACAGGAGCCCGCGCGGUCCACUGCCGUAAAACCCCCCAACUUUUUAUAGUUGACCUCGAAUCAGGUAGGACUACCCGCUGAACUUAAGCAUAUCAAUAAGCGGAGGA
rnacentral:misc_RNA from 1 species